UGAGAAUCUGACAACUUAAAUAGCUGAAAACUUCCUAAUCUGGGGAAGGAAGAAGACAUCCAGAUCCAGGAAUCAGAGAGCCCCCAACAAGAUAAACCCAAGGA